AUGCCUGCUGAACUAGAGCUUAGGAAAAAACUAAAGCUCCGCCUCCUGGGUUUAGCAGCCAUUGACAAGGCAAGGAAGAAGUAAUGAUCCAGGAUCAAUUGGUUGCGGGCUGGGGAUGCUAGCACGACAUUUUUCCACUCCAAGAUAAAUGCUAGGAAAUGGAAAAACUUCAUCCUAUUCCUGAACAAGAAUGGUAUGCCCGUGACAAGCCACCCUGAAAAAGAAGAGGUGAUCAAGGAUCACUUCACAAGGCUGUUAGGCACACAACAGCGUCGCGCGUGCACAAUAAACUGGGAUGAGAUCCAGUUGCCCCAAGUAGACACAUCAUGUUUGGAUAUUCCUUUCUCGGAGGCUGAAGUCUGGAGUGCAAUCAAGCAAUCACCUCUAGACCGAGCCCCUGGACCGGAUGGUUUCUCAGGUGUUUUCUACAGGAGAUGCUAG
rnacentral:rRNA from 1 species